AAUCAAGAGAAGCUAAAGAGAGAUUCACCAUAAGGAGAGACUCACAUUAGUUGUUUUUCUCUCACUCUCUUCAACUCAGAGCAACAAUGACAAAAUGGGUGAUUAUUUCUCUUUUCUUCACGGCACAUGAUUUAGUGUGCUGGGGACAGGACAGUGUUGAUCAGCCUUCAAGAGAAGAGACUUCUGCUGAGGGAAAUCAAGUGACUUUAUUGUGUAAUUAUACCCUCAUGAGCGCUGCAAAUGCUUACCUCUUCUGGUACAAACAGCUUCCAAACAGAUCACCAGCAUUCAUUCUGAGUGAAUUUUCCAUUGGGAAAGGAAAGACAGAGCUUGAAUUUAAGGAGAGAUUUCAUGCCAAACUGGAUUCCACAUUAGGAACAGUUCCUCUGAUGAUCCAGGAUGUGUGUGUGUCUGACUCUGCUGUGUAUUACUGUGCUCUGAAGCCCACUGUGACUCAAACACACUCAACACUCACACAAAAACACUGUGAGCAUCUGAGUAGUGUUGUUCAUCCCCUGAUGUGAUUACUUCCACUGUUAUAAGGACUCUGUGAACCUAAACACUUAUUAUUAACCUAAAAAAAAAAGAUUCACAUU